CUUUUGUUGUGUUUAGACCACAUACCUCCAGCCCUUCCUCACACUGCAGCCCGUGUCGAAGCACAGGAAGGCUGGAUAGUCCAAAGUGCUCUAGUGUUUUCAAACUCUCAACUUUCUGCCGUUGGCUGGGAAUUUCUGUGCCGCUCCUAAGCCUUGUGCUUCCUCCUCCAUGGGGUAAGAAGAGUGGCCUCUUUGGGUGGCUGUAACUGAAGAUUGCUUCCCGGGAGCAACUGAGGAAGGUUAAAGAGUGAAUGUGAGCAAAAAGUACCCCUCUCCUGCCACCACGCAGUUUCCAAACGGUGCUACUCACAGGCAGCCUCUUUAAAGGUAUUAUGUUAAACCGUUACGGGCUGGAGUGGUAUGUUU
rnacentral:lncRNA from 1 species